rnacentral:tRNA from 1 species
CGCAGGGCCUCCGUAGGGAAGGGGCCGGGCCUCAUAAGCUUGGAGCGGUCGGUUCGAGCCCGACACCUGCGACCA